UCUGUAAGAAAAAAAGUUCAUGGUGUAUGGAUUAUUUUUGUCAGACUCUUUAUGCAAGAGGAAGAUUUCUGAAUCGCAAGACUUCCAAACAUCAAAGCCCCCGCCUGCAUUAACAGGAAUCCCUGACUUAUUUCUGAGCAACGGCAUGGAGGAAAAAAAAGGAUCCGAUGGGAUGCAGCAUGUAGCUUUUUGGUCAGAUAUCUUUCUUAAUUAGUAUCUCACUUGCCAGCAAAUACACAUUGGUUUUAUUUUUGCCUUAAGGCAAUUUAUACCAGCUUGUCAAAAGAAACGCUUUCUAUGAACUGGCUGUUUAACAAAUGCUUAAAUGCGCAUACUUCGUCUCGGAGGAAAUGGUAAAAAAGAGGCAUGCCUUGAACUACCCUCCCCCUGAAAUGUCUUAGAGCCAUGAAACGUUUCUUUAUUCUUAUUUUUUUUAGAAAAAAAGUACUUGGGAUCCCCCGAGUCAGUGCUGAAAUGGUGACAAGUCAAAAAGAGAAGGAUUUUGAUGGGAGGUCAUGUAGGAUCGACCGGGAGAGUUUGAAGAGAAAGAAGGCAGCGGGGCUGGCUGUGAAAGGCUGCGUUUGAGAAAUCAAUAGGCUCUGCCUUUUGUUCUGUCUCACUCCCAACACCUGAAUCAGAACAAAGAGUCUGAGGCGCCACUUGACAAAAGCCUUCCAACCCAUCUCUAGGUCGGACGCUGACACGUGUGCCAGCAUAACACCAAAUGCUGGAAUAUCGCUCACAUCUGCUUUUUUUGAUUUACAUUUAAAUCAGACACCGAUCCGAAGCCUCUCUGGUCCUGAUGAUUGCACGAGGGAAGAAAAGAAAUCUGUGUACACCUUCCUUUUUCUGCUGAAAUUGUGGCAACUUUCCCCUGCUUGGAACUGUGAUGAAACUCUGUGCAAUAUUCCCAUCCAAGCAGUGGAACUGCACCAAUUUGGCUCCUGCUCCACAUAUUCCCGGUUCCAGUCCUCCGUUACAUACCAGUCCUCAGUCAUCCAUGCCCUGGCAGCCCCGCAAGCUAUUUCCCACUCCCACGUUAAAGCUCCAAGACCACAGGCUGGAUGCCACUUUGAUCAAACUUAAGUAAAAUGGACUUCCCAGCGUUCCAAAGAUCAAUACCACUUUAAUAACACCUGGCUGAGGGAGCUGAGAAACCUGCACUCUGGCGGCUGCUGCAGAGUAAAAAAAAAAAAAAAAAAGAAAAAAAAAGAAACAGAGAAGAGACAGGCCACAGCAGGCCACAGACUGUAAAUCUCUCAAGUCUUGGCAUCCCUUGCAGGGCGCUGGAAGGUGUCACAGUAACCCUGUAGAGCCAGAGGAGGUGGCAACGCGAGUCCCCGGCGGCAUCUGUGUUGGGGCGGACUCAGUCGCCCGGCACCUUUCUACAUGGCAGUCCCUUCCCAAGUCCUUCACCUCUAAAAACCCAACUCUCCUGGACGCAAAGUUUUCCAUCUGCUGUCUGAAUUACCGUCUGCAAUCCCACAGUGAUGGAAAUCAACCAGUGUUUUUCAGGAGUCUGAUUAAGGUCCAUUCCCCAUUGCCCCCUCGUAGUCUCUCCACAGAUGGUGGCCCUCUGCUCCUGCAGGAAGCACUUCCACUCAGAGGAUUCGCGACAAGGAGAAGAAAAAAAAAACCACUUUCUCAAUAGGAAUUUUUUUUUCUUCCAACACCGGUUCUUCACUAAUGCGUCUUCAGCUCCUUUUUUUUUUUUUUUUUUUUUGUUCUCCUAUUUGGAUAGAUGCUUAUUAGUCUGAGCACU